GGAUGCGAUCAUACCAGCACUAAAGCACCGGAUCCCAUUAGAACUCCGAAGUUAAGCGUGCUUGGGCGAGAGUAGUACUAGGAUGGGUGACCUCCUGGGAAGUCCUCGUGUUGCAUUCC
rnacentral:rRNA from 4 species